rnacentral:rRNA from 1 species
UGAGGAAUAUUGGUCAAUGGGCGCAAGCCUGAACCAGCCAUCCCGUGUGCAGGAAGACGGCGCUAUGCGUUGUAAACUGCUUUUCCAGGGGGAGAAACUUGCGCACGUGUUGCGCAAUUGACGGUACCCUGGGAAUAAGCAUCGGCUAACUCCGUGCCAGCAGCCGCGGUAAUACGGAGGAUGCGAGCGUUAUCCGGAUUCAUUGGGUUUAAAGGGUGCGUAGGCGGACUAUUAAGUCAGUGGUGAAAUCCUGCAGCUUAACUGCAGAACUGCCAUUGAUACUGAUAGCCUUGAGUUUGGUGAAGGUAGGCGGAAUGUGUAAUGUAGCGGUGAAAUGCUUAGAUAUUACACAGAACACCAAUUGCGUAGGCAGCUUACUGAGCCGACACUGACGCUGAGGCACGAAAGCGUGGGGAUCGAACAG